rnacentral:rRNA from 1 species
UGACGUCAAGUCAUCAUGGCCCUUACGCCUAGGGCUACACACGUACUACAAUGGUGGGUACAAAGGGCAGCAAAACCGCGAGGUCGAGCGAAUCUCAAAAAACCCAUCAUAGUCCGGAUUGCAGUCUGCAACUCGACUGCAUGAAGUUGGAAUCGCUAGUAAUCCCGGAUCAGCAUGCCGGGGUCGAAUACGUUCCCGGGCCUU